rnacentral:lncRNA from 1 species
AUCCAUCACCUAUCCUUUCACCUUAAUUUCAUGUUUUUGUCAAUUCUGUAAUUUAUUUAAGUUUAAUAUACUUCUCGUCAAAACCAAAACCCCCCAUUAUUAAAUUAUUAUUUAGUUAGUUUUCAUUAUUGUUAGUCUUUCAAUUCGAUUUUCGUCAAUUUCAGUUCCUAGUGUUUAAUUUGAUUAUUUUCAUUAUUUUGAGUCAUCCUAAGUGUGUUUCGAGUUAUUAGAGUUUUUAGCCUAGUUUUGUGUCCUUGA